UGUGCUAGACUGAAUGUACCUGAUAUCUUCUGAUCUUGCAAGUUAAGCAAUCCUAUGUCUAGCUAGCACUGAGAUGGAAACUGCCUUGUAGUAUCAGGCACCACAA
rnacentral:rRNA from 1 species